rnacentral:rRNA from 1 species
GAUGAACGCUGGCUACAGGCUUAACACAUGCAAGUCGAGGGGAAACGCCGGGGAAGCUUGCUUCCCCGGGCGUCGACCGGCGCACGGGUGAGUAACGCGUAUCCAACCUGCCUCUGACUGAGGGAUAACCCGUCGAAAGUCGGCCUAAUACCUCAUGGUAUCGUCUGCGGGCAUCCAACGACGAUUAAAGAUUUCAUCGGUCAGGGAUGGGGAUGCGUCUGAUUAGCUUGUUGGCGGGGUAACGGCCCACCAAGGCUACGAUCAGUAGGGGUUCUGAGAGGAAGGUCCCCCACAUUGGAACUGAGACACGGUCCAAACUCCUACGGGAGGCAGCAGUGAGGAAUAUUGGUCAAUGGGCGAGAGCCUGAACCAGCCAAGUAGCGUGCAGGAAGACGGCCCUAUGGGUGGUAAACUGCUUUUAUGCGGGGAUAAAGUGAGGGACGGGUCCCUCAUUGCAGGUACCGCAUGAAUAAGGACCGGCUAAUUCCGUG